GGUAUUGUGGCUCAGUGGUAGAGCGCUUGCCUAGCAUGCGUGAGACACUGGGUUUGACCCCCAGCACCA
rnacentral:tRNA from 1 species